rnacentral:lncRNA from 1 species
CCUCUAUGAUCUGCUUUUGGUGGCCUAUGGUAAGUUUUGCUCUUGUUUUAGAUGGCGAUUUUUUAUCAUUAGUGUGGUGAGAGUUGUAGGAGAGUCCUCUAUUUUGAUGCGAACAGUCCUUGGGACCUGGCCAUGGCCAGCCAUCACUUUCUUUUGCUUCUGCUGCCAUCUUAUUUUGGUAAUUAGGUUGAGUGAGUGAAAGAGAUCAUCGAGUUGGCUUUGAUUCUUUUAUUUCUUUUUCUUUCGUUCUAAGGGUAGCUCCCUGCUAUCUCUUGCUUGUUCUGAAGGAUGAUCAUAGUUGUUUGUUAGAAAACUGAUGGAUUCUUGGAGCUAGCUUUAUAGAUCNNNNNNNNNNNNNNNNNNNNAUAUAUAUGAAUUAAAGAACUAACUUCUUUUGCUAGUAGUAGUAAAACUUGACAAUAAUACUAGUAGUGCCACUAUUUGUCGACCAUAUAAAGUUCCACAUUUUCCUUAUUACACUUUAAGUUACAUCUAUUUGUAAAAGUAUUUAUAUUAUAUAUAAUGCUCUAGUUUAUGUAAGUUUUCAUGUUGUACUUCAUGCUUUAAUUUAUUGGUUGGUUUAUUGGUGCAUAUCCAUCGAGUUAUAUCAUACUGAAAUACAUACUACAGAAACUUUCAUGUAUGGCUUUACUCACUGAUGGCUACACACAUUGUUGAGUUAAUAAAUAUUGGUGAUAUUAUGGGAUUAUAUGAUAUAUUGCUAUAGAAUUGUUUUAGUUUAAUGGAAAUAAUACAUAGUUGUUGUAAUUUGACAUAUUGACAAAUAUACAUCUUGAACAAUGCCCAUGCGUCGAGUUGGACUGAAUAAGCUGGUGAUCUUGGCAUUUUUUGCAAUUCUCUGCACGCCUGCCUUCAUACCCAUUGUCCUUAUAGAUCAACACAUGCAGGGCAUUUUACUAUUCUCCUACAUAGUUGCUGAUUAUUUAAAUUAUCUAUUAUUUGCAAUACCUUAAAUUUUGAUUAUUUCGUAUAGGUGAUAUCAUCCUUACUCCUAUAUCAAAUUAUUAAUUGAUAAUUAUAAUUCUAUAGUCCAUGUAGGUAUGAUUUUGUGUUUCCUCAUGUGAUUGUUGUGAUUAUUUAUUCCCAGUUGUACUUCUUAAAUUCAUAAAUAUUUACCAUAUGUAGUGUAAGGGGCUUAAUGACGAAUUUCAUGGAUCUUUGAAUAUUUUAUUAUGAAAUUAUCUGAAUGGAUCGCAUAGAAUUUAUAUGGAUGGUUUUGGUUGUAUUUAUAUAGAUCAAUUGACCUUUGAAAGGUUUUUAUGGAUGCUUUUAUGUGCAAGGGCUCAUCUUUAUAAUGCUAGUAGAAUGCAUAGCAAUAUGUGUUAGAUGGCCAUUUAGAUGGCAACCUUUGCAACCACCUCUUUCUAUGUGAGGUGAUAGAUGAUUAGAGAGGCUUCUUGGAGGAACUACCGUGUAGUUCUUUUUCCAUGGCUGCUGAUGAUACGAGCCUCACACUCAGCUAAUAAUCAUUUCCAGUCCCACAAUUUAUUUCAAGGGCAUGUUUGGUUCAUAAGCAAAAUUAAAUUAGAAUGGAUUGCAAUGAGAAUCGAAACGACAAUCUAUCAUGCCUCUAAUCUGAUAUUGCAAAUCAAAGAUCACAGCAAUCAUCAUAUACUCAUUGAAAACUCAUCCUACAGGCAUGCAAGACAAUAUCAAAUACAUCAUAAUGAAAAUAAUUUAAAUAACUAAUAUCUAAAAUUAAAUUAAUAAAUAAAUCUAACUAAUAAAUAGAGUUUAGAAAAUCUUACGUCACUUAAAUCUCAACUAAUAAUAUUGUAAAAUAUAGUAAUAAAUCUAAAUCUAAAUUAUAUUAAUACUAUCAAAUUUCACCUCUAGUUUUACUUCCAAUGAAGUAUUCCAUAACUAUCUAAAUCUUAAAAAAAAAAAAAGAAAAGAUAAUGAGCUCGAAAGCCCAUUAAAUAAUAAAUACUUUAACUAGAUAAUUCAUAUAACAGCAGAUACGAUAGACAAAUAUAAUUUUUCAUUAAUCAGCAUAAAAGUAUAAUUAAUUUAUUUUUCAAAACAUAAAUCCAAUCAUUUCAAUAUCUUUUAAAUAUUCAUAGAUAUAAUCAUAAAUCCAACACGGAACAAAUUAUAUUUAACUUGAUAAUCUCUAACCAUGAUCACACUUAUAGCUUAUGACUGGGCCAAAAAUAAAAUCAUACUUAUACCCCACGGAGUAGGACAGAAUAUCAUAUUUAUAUCCUAUAACAUAGACCAGAAUACCAUACAUAUCCUAUGAUGUGGGUCAAAAUACCACAAUAUUUAUAUUCCAUAGUGGGCCAAAAAUAGAAUAAUGAGCUUAGUGAUAAUCAAAGUGCCAAUGCAUCAUUCCGAAUUAUCAAGAUACAUAAUAAAGUUAGGUUGAGAGUUCAAAUCCGAGACAUAUCAAAAAUUUUUUAUAGAAUAGCAUAUAUUCCAUAAUUCAAUCAAACUAUAUAUAUACGGUCUAAGAUCAAUAAACAAUUAUAAUGAUGAUCCAAGAAAUAUUAAUUCAAAAUUUCAUAUCAAUUUCCAUUUAAAACAUAAUUUCAUAAUAUUUAUUAAUCCAUUAACAAUUGAUUGGAUACCAAAAAAUAAUAUUAUGUAAACAAAAAUCUAGAAAAGAUAUAUCAUUAUUUAUCUUGCACAAACAAUGAGCAGAUAAAUCUAGCUAAUUUUGAAAUUUUCAUUCAAAAUUUAAUAUUCAAAAUCAUAUUUUUAUCAAAAUUUAAUUAUUAAUAUUUUAAGAAUAAAAAUUUUAAGUUCCAACAUUCUCAUAGGGCUAGUUAAGUGGUAACAUCCGAUAUCUCGAUCGAUUCCAUCUAGUUCAUCCAAUUAAUCAAUGACAAUCAAGAUUCACACUAGAAUAUUAGGUUGCAAUUAAUGAUAAAAUUUAGUAGUGCUCGACUUAGCCUGAACAAGGGCCGGCAUAUUGUUCGACAACUAUAGAUCAAGAUUUUUUCACCAUGAUCGAUCAAAAUCAUUGACAGAAAAUAUUUUCUAAAAUCCAAAAAAUCCUAAUAGAGAGAGAAAUCAUGCUGAGAGAGAGAGUCCAGAGAGAGAAAAUAGAGAAAUAAAGUAGAAAGAGGGAAGAAAAGAGAGAGAAACUUCUUUCCUUCUUUUUUUUUUUUCAUUGUUUUCCUCCUUUUUUUUUCCUUGGUUCCUUGACAAAACAAGGAACCUUUGGUCACCCCUCUUUUCAGGUAUAGGGGAGAGCUCCAGCCGAUAGAGGUCAUGGCUAGUGGUGGCAAUGGUUGUGACCACAAUAGCACAACCAAGGAUUCCUCACUCAGCAAUUGAUAGCAAAGAUGACCAAAGAAAAGGCAAAAAAAAUCAAAAAAAAAUCAAAGAGGAAAAAAAAAAGAGGAAUAGAGCACCCAUUUUCUCCACUAAAUAUGGCGAUUAGUCGGUCUCCAUGGGCUAAGAAGGAUAGAGAGGAGGAUUAACUAAAAGAUUAAGGAAUUUUUAUGUUACUUCCAAUAGUAUUUGGCUGGUUGCGAUUUUGGUGAGCAUAGUUAUGGACUUUCGAGAAGAAGAAAAGAAGAAAAUUCUAUCAAUUUAAUGAACUUCAGAUUCUCUAGUGUAGGAUGGUAGAGGGAGGUUCGGGUCCUUAAAUAGAACCAUGGGGAGGUAGAAUCCUCCUCAAUAUCGGCUUCCCUCCGGUGAAGUCAAGAGGAAGAAGUCCUAGGAGUCUUCUUCCAUUAUAUCUUCUUUUCUUUUUUUGAUCUUUUUCUGGUGUUUGGGCUGGUCAAGUGGACCAGACCCACUACUCCACUAGCCCAAUUGAGCUAGAUCAUCAUAUUAUAUCUUCCAACAUAUUCGAUGUGUGACCAGAAUCAUAAUUGGAAUAAAAUUUGAAUACUACGAAGAGUAAAAAUUGAUUUCAGAGGAUUAGACCAUUUCUAUUUCCUCAGAAUCGGAUUGAAUACGGAUCAGAUACCAGCAUAUCUAUAUCCAUACUUAUUUUAUCUAACAAAUACAAAUAUGGAUACAGACGUUAUUCGGAUGCAAAAAUUCAUAUCUAUAUUUAUUUUAAAUGGAUACGGAUAUAAUUCAGAUACUGAAAAUAUGACUAUAAUUAUAGAUAUAAGUUGGAUAAUUAAAUUUUAUGACUACGGAAUUAAAGAUGUUACUAAAUAGAUAAUAAAUCAAUUUAAUAAUAUAUUUAUAUAGUUGUAUAUUUUUUAAAAAAAUUAAUAAGUACUAUAUAAAAUUAUAUAUUAUCAUAUAUAGAUUCGGAUAUUCGGAUACAGAUCGGAUAGUUGUUUAUCUGUAUCUAUAUCUAUUCUCCUUUGACAGAUAUAAAUACAAAAUUGAAUACUAAUUAGAUCCUUAAAUUUCUAUCUAUAUUCAAAUUAAUUUAGAUAUAAAAAUAAAUUCAAAAAAAAUAUAAUCUGUACCAUUUUUUCCCUACUUGUUUGUAUACUUUUUUCGUUCACAAGUACCUCCCUACAUUGUUAUACUCGAUAGAGAUGCUAUAGCUAUAUAUGUGGUGUCUCUAUAAGGCAACCAUGAAGUGGAAUUCAUCCCCCAUCCCUUGCCAUGUUGACUACCAACCUGUCAAGUUGGAUGCAGUAUGUCAUGUGUUUAAUAGGCUUGUUUGUUACUUGUUCUGAGGACAACAAAUGUGAUCAAUGACACUGGUUUAUCCGUUAGAUAUUUAUACAGUGGCAUUUAGGCGAGGCGAAGAGCUUUGUACCACUAUAUGUGAUUAUAAAUUUUAUUGUAUUAUAUGACAAAAACCUGAGACUUUUGGGUAUGAUUGAGGAAGAACUGAAAUUUAUCACACCCAAUAUUGGAUCUUGGGAGGCACAGUUUGCAUGUCCUCAUCCCAAUAUAUUGGGUUAUCUUCAAUAAUAUUUAUAAUUAUUCGUUUUCCAAUAUGAUGGUCUCCCAGCCUUUUAUUUUUUUAUGAUCCAAUGAAUAGCUAUUAACUUGGAAAAAUUUCAAACAUUGAGAAAAUGAUUAAAAAUAAAACAAUUUCCAUCUCCAGUGACACAUUUAAAGUUUGGAGUUGACCAUUUUCCAUAGCCCACUUAUGAAUUACUCCAUACUUCAAAUAUUCUUGAUUUACCCAAAAAAGAAAAAGAGAUAUGAUUUCCUAAAUAAAAAUAACUAAUAGAAAUUAGGUAAGAAAAAUCAGUAGUUUAAAUAAUAUAAUAUUUAUAAAAAUUUAAACAUUAAAAAGGAUGAAAAAUGACUAGGAUACAGUGGGGGUAAUCUCACCCCUCACUGUAAGGGUGACCAUGUCCCAGCGCUUCAAGCUUCAACAAAACAACAGAAGUGAUUGGAAGUCACUUUUGGCUCCACCUUUAUUUCUACCAUCAAAAACAUGAAGAAUCAAAACUAAACUUUUUGUGCGGUUGUUUCCCACACAAACCAAACAAUAAAAUUACAUUUUUACUAAAAGCCACUUUUCAAAAGUUAUUCCAGAAAAUGAUAGCCUUCCAUUCGACCACUUUCCUGCAACCAAGCCACCCUACACCACCUGGUCUUUUGAGCUAAUCGAAACAUAGUGCAUGCUGAAUCUUAAGCUAAAUUUAACACUUUCAAAAGCAUAAAUUUUUUUGAAAAAUUGUAUUUUCUAGCUGUUUGAAUGAUUGGAAAACUAAAUUUAAAAAAAGAAAUAAAUUUUCCCAAAUUGACUAAAAUUUUCCUUUUGGAAAUAAAUUUUCUAAAAUUGGCUAUAAUUUUCCUUGAAAAAAUUAUGCACAUGCACAAGUGAGUCAUAAAUGAGCAGACUGUCCUUGAAAAAAUCUUUUAGAGAUUUCAAGUAGUGCCUUCUGUGGUUGUCAAGUGGUUAGUUCACACAAUAAAGUUUUAGGUGAUAAAACUUCCAAAUAAUGAUUUCUCCUUUAUCAUUAGGAUCUCAGAUGGUGUUCUUCCCAUCUCCUCUCUUUCUGAAUUAUCUUCCACAGCAACUUUCGAAUAAAACCAAAACUGAAAUCUCCUAGAUCAAUAAUCACACAGCCACCUUAACCUAUGGGUUUACAAAUCAUUCCCUGUUUUAUAAACAAAAACUGCCAGCCACCACAUUUUUGCCCCUUCCACAUAGAAGCUCAUCUUGUCUAUCUAGCAAGUCAACAAGAUGUUUAGGAAAGCAAACAUAUAACAAAAUGAGAGGCAGGAUAAUACUGAAUCUAGCCUUCCACCAGAUGAUAAAAUUCUAUGCUUCCAACCAUACAAUCUAGAUUCCUUGUUAACUACCGGCUGCCAAUCACAAAACUACCAAGUCAAAGAGACAGUUCCAUAUGCAUAACAUUCAACACCUUGCAAUUGAACAGAACUGUCAUGCACUCUGGAUUUUAUUCAUCUUCUCCAGAGGGAACCAGAGCUGGAAAACCAAGCACUUACAGCCUAAUUAACCUUCAAGCCUGAAAGGCAUUAACAAUGUAAAGUAAUGAAUGUGAGGCAUGCAACUGUCAUACCACCAGCUCACAAAAUAAAAAGGUCUCAUCCACAGAUUAUAAAGAGAGGAUACCAUCUCUCAACCUGUCUAACUCCUGCAGGACUUACGUGCAGGUUGCUAUCAAUUAGAGCUCGAAUCAGGCAGCCAGAACACACGUCCCUAUGCAAGGCCAGUCUGAAAUUCUAAAGUUUACAUAGCUCAAUAUUGUAUGUAGUGAAGCUUGGGUUGGCCCUUAAACUAAUCCAACCAACCUAAGCAGCAACCCUGCUACAAAAGGAGCCUUUCUCUAGUUGAAAGGCUUCUAAGGAAAAGGUCAGUAGUCAUAUAAGCUCUCUUUCAUAGCAUCAGGAUUUUUACAAAAACAAAAAAAGAAGAAGAAAAAAAACAAAGAGAGGUUAACUGAAGGUGCGUCUGAUGUUGGGAUCCGGCCCCUUUCUGGGAGGGAAGAGAGGAGGAACAAAAAACUGGCAUCUCAUGUAGUUGGAUGAACCGGAGUAUACCAUGAUAUUGGUAUACAGCCAUUUUAAAAAGCAAUCAACUAGGGGUCAUAAGAUGCCUAAGCUGAUUAAAUUCAUGCUCAGCAUAGAUAAGAUGCCUCAUGUACUUAACAUAUUGGAUGAUUACCUCAUUGAUUCUAUGAUGCAGACAGAUAUUAAACGGCACAUAAUCUAUUAGAUUAGUUUAUAACAUACAUGGUCAUCAUAUUGCCUGAACAAACCACUUGAUAUCAAGCAGAGAGCAUCUUUAGCAUCAAAUUUAUUUUAUGUAUAGUGCAAAAUCUCCUAAACCUAUUUAGUAUCAAAUUUAUCAAGUUUUCUGCACCACAUUACUCAAACUCAGAGCCAUUCAUCUAAAAGAAGGGAUAAAACAUGCCUUCUUCUCUAUUACAAGUCUAUCAAUAAUUCCAUUUUAAACUCAAAAAAAAAAAAGGAGAAAAUUGCCCAUUAUCUUGGUUAUGAGACACUUGCAUACAUUAGCUUUAUAAUGAGUGCCUAGAUAAAGAUGUCUCUUACAGAUUUAAACAUCAGCAUGUUAUGUCAUCUAUUCUGUAGCUAAACAUAUACCGCAUGCAUAAAUUGUACUUGGUCUGUAUCAUACAAAAGAUGCUUAAUCUAAUGCCUCAAUAAACUAUCAGAUUAGUUGUUUAAUUAAAUGAAAACUACACUCCAUACUAUAAGGAGAUGUAUAGAAAGAUGUUCCCUUAAUUUGCUUGUUGUAAUAAGACAAUCCAAUGGGACCAAGCCACUGAUGAUGACAUAAUGGAUUAUUUAAUACUGUAUGCAAUAAUGCGUGGUAUUUCACAUAUAUAAUUGGACAUACUUAAGAUGAUUAUGGUGUAGUAGUGCAUGAUUCCCAUCCUACUCCAUGGAUACUGCUAAACUCAUUCUACUACCAACACAUGGCCAACGGAGGCAGAUGAUAAGAAAAGGUGAUGGUGGUGGGUGCUAACACUAUUGCAUGGUCAAGGUCAGGGAUCACAUGACCUUGCCCAUUGUAACAUAUAGAAUCCAUAAUUAAAAAUAUAAAGCUGGAAGUCAUACAUUACUUAGCCAAAAACUGUGGGAAACCCAGCAGCAACCAGUGGAACAUCUCUAUAAUAACUCAGCACCAGCCUCAAAAAGAAAAGAAGCUACUAAAGAGAGGAAAAAACACCCACAAAAAAAUAUAUAACAAGGUAAUUUUUCAUAGUCUUUAAACCCCAUGACCCAAACAAAUUUACAAUAAGAAACAAGAACACUCAUUGCGGCUGCUUAAGGAUCUCUUUCAGCCAUUAAACAGAAGACAGCGUGCUGGAAAAAGUUACCUUCUAGAGAGAAUCUGAGAGGUCCGACGAGCACUUCUCCAUCUCUUCAUCAAACAGCAUCUCCUGGUAACGGCACUCACGGCUGCAGAAUGCUUUUUCACCUCUGAAAAAAAAAAACAAGAGCACACCUGAGUUCUCGUGCCAUGUGCCACGAUCUCUUCUUACUUAGAUUAGGAGAAGGAAAUCCUAGUAAACAAAGAGAGGAACCGACUAAAGAAGCAGAGGAUUAUCAAGCGUCUGCUUCCAAGGUGGUAUCCUAACCUUUACUAGAGCGGUAGAAUUAAGAUAUAUGUUAACAUGGAACCUAAGGGAAAUAUUUAAUUCAGAUAAGAAAUUAUGUUGAGAACACAACAAAGAAGGAAUAUGACAUGGUGAACAUAACAAGUUAGCCAUGCAAUUGCAACAUCCAUGGAUUUAAAGAUCAGACAGAAGAACUACAGAAUAAAGAGCAGAUCACUUUCAAAACAAACCAUCUUGAGGCACAAGAAGAGAAAGAAAAAGCUCUGAUUAAGGGUUAUCAGCAAUGCCUUCCCAAAAAUUUCAGACCCAAUAAUGAUUAAAUGGCAUGGGAACGUCAAGAGCAAUGACAGGUUUGGAAGUGGGAACUCAAAACACAAUUUCCACAUAGCCAAUAAAUAAAUAAACUUUGUUCUUGGAUACCAAAAGCAAGAAAGACUAAAAUCCUGCAUUAACCAAUAAUUGAUAUGGAUAUACCUACUAACAGCACAUAUGGCCGAUCGAAAAUAAGCUAUAGAUUCAGAAUUAUACUGGAGCAAGAGCAAUUUUUUCAUUAUAAGUGAAAGUUAAAUCCAGGUUAUGAUGAUCUUAUAACCACAUAGAAGGCUACCUUAUAUUCCUUGGAAGGUACCAAGUUGCAAGCACCAUAACUAGUUUUCAUAGAGCAGAUUAUGUUAAAAUUAGCAAACUAACCUACACUUGAAAUUCCUGUACAAGGUACCAAGUUGCAAGCACCAUAACUAGUUUUCAUAGACCAGAGUAUGUUAAAAGUAGCAAACUAACCUAUACAUGAAAAUGUCUUUCCCCUGCCCCAGAUUCUUCCUGCAAGCAUAGCAGUAGCUCAAGAAAUCAUCUGAAGUAUAGCCCGAAUGGUCAGCCAAGGAACUGCCCUCCUUCCUCAAAGCAACGAAUCCAUCACCACAGCUCUCCACUAUGCAAUUGUCAAAGAUGUGAGUGGUCCUUGGGUUUGGACCACGAGAAAUCACACAAGUAUAGUCCUCUGAGAGCUCCAUCUCACUCGGGGAGAGGCGCACGGUAACAAGGCGAGGAGAAGAAGUUAGCACAUCAGCUUCCAUGUUGGCCGAGCCCAUCGGAGAUCUUCGGGCAGGAGAGUAUAAAGCCAACUGAGAAUUCUUAGUCUUGACACCAAAUUCUAUUGGUGAGUGAGGAGACUCAAUGGAACCAGAUGGAGAUAUGGAGCUGGAUCGAACAAGGGGAAUCUGAAUUUUAAGCUGCGAGCCAAACAUCACCAUCCUACUCUCUGGCUUGGAGGUCUGAGUAUCAACUUUCUCAUUGUUGAGAGCAUCAACAAGGCCAAGUCCAAUGGCUUUUGAGUCUCCACUGUCCCAAGGGUGAUGUCUGUCCUCGUCCGCAGUAGUCGUAGCAAUGGCAUUUUUGAUAGGCCUUCUUUGGUUCCUGUCAGUGAAGAAGGGGUUCCCAAUGGUAGAGGACGGUUUGGUUUCUAGAAUGGAGGUUGGGCUCAUGACAGCCUCACCGUCUGAGGCACCCUUUGGAGAAAAGCCUGAAAAGAGCCUUGGAGAGGCGAAGAGAGAGGAAAAUGUGGGCCUUCUAUUGUUGGCAGUGGGAGAUGGCAAGCAAGUGUCAUCCGACAUGAGGCCUUGGUUGUUGCUAAAUGCUCUAGACCUCCUCCUCAGGGUAAUGUCUUGCAGCUUUAAUCUCAGAAACAUAGACAGAGAACUGCAAUGGAAAGACAGAAAGAUUUAAUACUUCAUAUAAAGAAUAAUUGGAACAAGAUUCUCCUUUUUAUUUCUUUCUAUAACUUUUUCCAACUCCAAAAGGUUAAUGAAAAAACAAAUAAUAGCAACUCAAUUGGCAUUAAAACAAUAAGAGCUAAUGAUAUUGUCCAGCACUAUAAAAACCAUGAGCCCACCUAGGCUGGUUGGGGAAUCCUCCUCAGUGAUUCAUCAAAGGUAAGCAACCAUAUCGCUCUGCAACCAAAAAAAUGGUAACCAAUAUCCAGGAUAGCAGAAAAGACCCAAAGGUCUCCUUUUUAUUCCUUUUUCUGUUUCCCCCUCUAUGGGUUUCUUUUAUAAAAACUCCUCAGACCAUAUGCUACCGAGCUUUAGAACAGAGAAAAUUGGAUCUUUAAGCUCUUAUACCAGAAGAACAGAAGCAAAACGGUAACUGGAAAAAGAAAAACAAAAAAAUCUACACCAAUCCACCUGCUAUUCCAGUCCAGCAAGAAGUUUCUAAACUUCAAAUCAAAAGAAUAUCCAACUGCUACAAACUCUUAAACAAAGCCAGAAAUCAAAUAUAAAAUCACCAAGGAACUUGACUAUUUCUAUCUACCGCACCCAAAAACAAAACUAAACCAAAACCAACCCUUUCCAGAAAACAAUAAAGAUCACCAAACAAGACAGAUUCUUUGGAAACAGUUUGUUAACACCAAUAUAAACGAUCAUCUUUCACAACAACCCAUGAAAACAAAAUUUAAGAGCAAAUAAAAUCCUUUGCACUUCUCCUUUGUUUCGCUCUGCGGUAACCCUCUCACUCUCUACGAUCAACACCGACCCAACAAAACCAACAAUCCGACUAAACUAAGUUGGACACUAAAAUCUAAAAGAAACACAACAAAACCCAAAACAUCAGCACCUAAAUCCCGAAAAUCCAAACUUUACUUCGAAAGACCUAUAAAAAUCUCACCUUUCCACUUCCUUCCACCUCUUCGUACAUAAUUAACGGACCAAAAAACCAUAAAAAUCGCACCUUUCCACCUCCUCACCCCACUCGACUACUAAAAACUCAUCAAGUUCCGUUCCUUCCUCUUCUCAUAGUUUAUUUCUAACUCCAUAAGCGGUAUAGUAUACGGCCAGCCCUGCCAAGUCUAUUACGGGAAGCCCAGGGCCUGAGGAGUUCAUCCGUCCUCGAACCAGAGCCAAUUUAAAGACGAAACCGGUGUUCGGGGGGUGGGGGGGAGGGAGAGGUGGUUUCGUUUGGUCGUUUCUUCAAAACCGCUACCUCUUCGAUACGAGCAGCAGUUUUUUUUCCCACAGAAAAGACCUCUCCCCUGCUUUCCUCUGGGCCCUUCUGGUUAUAGUAACCACCCUUUCAGAAAAUAAUCUCACAUCUUCCUCCAUUGGCGAGCAAACGUUCACCAUGUUAGGUGGGGGACCACCACCGCGUAAUGUUUCUUUCACCCCUUCAAACAAUUGUUUCGUAGAUUAUUUGUUGCAAGGGUUGUCAUUAUUGUAUGCAUAUUUUUCUCUGAUGUUCUUCCCUCUUGGCUCUUUAUCUUGUUCUCCGUAGGCCUUUUUCUGCUUUCCUUGGGAGGAGAUCCGAUCACUCGCGGUGUGAUUACCUUCAUAUAUGACGAGCCGCUGAUUGCGUCGGGGACUCGGGUGGCAGGUGGUGUAGUUAGUGGGAGGUGGGGAUAAAUCGUUUCGGCAGAGGAGUGAAGGCGAGGUGACGACACGUUAAGAUUUAUAUCCCGCGCAGUACGGGCUCUGCAUGCGUUUCUUUUUUUUUUUUUAGGAAAAGCAGUCAUAAACAAACAAAAGUAGAGAACGGCUCGGCUCAGUCAUUCAUUGGCUAAAGGUGUAGAGUUUUUUUUUUUUGGUGAAGCAAGAGUUUGGAACCAUUGAGUUUUUCUAUUCUUGUAAAAGAUAAAUCCUUUAAGAUCCAAAAUUAUUGCAAUGGCAGGACUCAAAACUCAGUUUACUCAUAUUUAAUCUCUAGUGAUUUCACUAACUGAAUUUAUUGUCACCACUCACCAUCAACUUGCAUAAUCCUUGAAAAUCUAUUAAAUACUAUCCAUUGAUUAUUUGGAGAAAAACAAUCUUCACAAGCUCUUGCCAAAAGGUCAAAAAAAUGGGUGAUCACCUUUGUAGAAUAAAGAGACUAUGAAUUAUUUUAUUAUGCAUUCUUGAUAUAUUAUAAAUUAACAUGAUUUUCUUUAACAUUCACUACUAUGAAAUGAUAGAUUGAUAUUAUAAUUUAUUUUUUCUUUAAACUCUUACCUUAAUAUGACCCACAUAUAGUAAUUUAAUAUAAAUAAUAAUUCUUGACGAAGUAAUUGAUGGCAGAGCAUCAAUAUAUUAAUCGAAAGAUGUCAAUGAAAUAAAUCCAAAUCAAAGAUAUAAAAAUUAUUGAACAAGUUCUACCCAAUGAGAUAUAUGAAAUUAGAUUGAUGGAUCGAUCCAUCGAGAUGCCUACAUCAACUUUUAAUAUUGAAUAUAGUCUAGACAAUCCUUAAAUGAUUAAUCUAUUUGUAAAUAUAAUGAUGCAAAUUUGAUGCAAGAUAAAUAAUAUGGAGUCCUUCGUUCCACCCAUAUGACCUACAUUGUUAUGCAUCGAAAGAUCAUAAUAAAAAAAAUCCAAUGAACUGCAUAAAAGCUAUAAUAAUUCUAGAAAACUAGAGAAUUUAUAAUAUCAAGGUCUUAAUCUUUUCUUUCUUAUUAUCAAAAAUAAUAGUAAUAAAUAAUAAUAAUAAUAGUUCAAAUUAAGUAAAUUUAAUUUUGUGUGACGGUCUUGAUGCAGUAAGGUUUGCUGUAUAUAAGAUAAUGGAGCAUGCAAUAUAUGAGCCUUGUUGCAUCAUGUCUGUUAUGUAAAAUAUGGAUUGCAGUGAUUGACCAACUUAUCUCUCCAGUUCUAAAUGUAAGAGGAUCAACUCAAAUAACAUGGAGCUUUCUAUCCAAAAAAAAAAAUAAAAAAAUAACAUGAAACUCUUUUUUUCAUUACGCUAAUGAAAACAACACUUAGCCCACUAAACCCAAAGUCGAUGGCUCGGCUUGAAUAUACGGAGCCGGACCCUGUAAGUUCACGGACUUUCCUGCAGAUUCGCACGGUCACAUUGUUCCUCCUUACUCCUAGCCGGGUCCCACUCAACUCCCAGUUUUACCUCUUUUCCAUAACUACCCUUAAAAUUUACCGCAAUUACAAAAGUUUAGACGGUGGUCCAUACGUAAAUCACUUGUCUGCCAGUGACAUACUCUUCCAUUGGGUCCCAGCUUAUCCUCCCAUCCCUUAUCCUCUCGAGGGCAGUUUUUGUCGUUUAGCUCCAAUUUACAGUUCUGUCCCUCCUUUCUCAACGUCCCCACACGCGUGCCGGAGAACAGGAUUGCCGCGUGUCCAGUAAACGACGGCCUCGAACGCGACAUGGGUUUAGGGUUGUAUCCUAUUUUCCACAAUUUGCAACGUAUGAUAGAUCACUUCCUUCAAUCCGCGCUUUCUAAACGGGGUAAAAUGCGACCUAACCGCGGAGACCACGAGAGAUGCAAUCCAAAUUUCGGAGAUGGGCAAUCUAAAUUUCGGUUGAAAUUUUAUCGGAUACGGAUCAAAUAUCAAUAUAUUUAUAUUUAUAUUUAUUUUAAAUAAAUAUAAAUAUAAUUUAGAUAUAAAAAAUAUAAAUAUAAUUACAAAUAUAAUUUAAAUAAUUAAAUUUUAUAAUUAUAAAAUUAAAAAUAUUAUUAAAUAGAUAAUAAAUUAAAUUAAUAAUAUAUUUGUAUAAUUAUAUUUUUUUAUAAAUUAAUAAAUAUUAUAUAAAUUUAUAUAAGAUUGUAUAUAGAUUCGAAUAUUUAGAUAUGGAUCGAAAAAUUAUUUAUUUAUAUUUUAUUUAUUUAUUUUUUAUAAAUAUAAAUUUAGAUAUAUAUAUUAAUCGAAUUCUAAAAUUUUUAUUUAUAUCUAAAUUGAUUCAGAUAUAAAAAUAAAUUUAAAUAUAUAAUAUUUAUAUCUCUCACUCCUAAUUCAAAUCGUUGGACAUACGGGGCCAUGCGUUUAGACCCAGGUCCGGUCCAAGAGGGUCCCAUGGCACGGACCCGGUUCAGUCAGACCGGAGAGCAGCGUGAGGAUAAUGAUAUUCUAAGACAUGCAUUCAAAAGUAGGGGACUGUUACCCAUCCGUGAGACAGGGCAUUAAAAGUGGCGUUGGUUAUGUAUAUUAUUAUUUUAAGAGAAAUAGGAUAACUACUGUCAGCGUUUCAAGUUAAAACUUUGUUUAAAAAAAUGGUCGGUUUUGCGGGUAGUUACGAGGUAGAUUUGGAGAACGAUUGAAUGCCCGCUCUGAUGCAAUUAUUGCUUGCCUAGAGAAGUCUAGCUCAUAGGCAUUACUGCAUUGGUGAGGGCCAUCCAUGGCCAUGCCUCUGAUGGUGGUGGCAUGGUGGAUAUUUUUGCAGAUGUAAUGAUACUUAAUAAUGGAGCUGAAGAAAAAGGGAGUGGGAUUUUUAACUUGGCUUGUGGUGUAUUGGUGGUGCAAAAGGUUACCCAAGUUAAAUGUGGUUGCACUUCAGCAAGAGGUGGUUUAGGAAAGCUUGGCCUUGAUGAGUUAAGCUGCUAACUAUCGUACAAUGCACACUUUGGCAUUGGGCCAUGUUUUACUUUAGGUCAACAAAAGUACCCUUCUUAUUGAGCAGUUAGUCUUUGAGCAGUGUUAUUGUCCUUCUUCUUAGCGGGGUAGAAAAUAAUGUCCCAUGCUAUUUAAAUUGGAUCAUUAUCUUGUGUUUCUUUGUAGAUAUAUUUCGAGACUAACUAAUACUAGUACUCGAAUUGUUAAUUAAGUUUUCAUUAUUAUAAUUUUUUUCAAUAAAAAUAAAACUUUGCAUUAAUUUCAUGAUGUAACAAUAAAUAAAUGUUUAAACAUAUUCUUGAAACUAAUUGAUAGCAAAAAUAACCACUAUAACUUUAUUCUAUAAAAAUAUAAUAUGCUUUAUAAGACAUGAUUUUGGCAAAACCCUCUCACAAAAGUAUAUUUUCCAUUUAAAGGAUCAUUAUAAGAAUGCUGCAAAAAUCGGUAGAAGUAGUGAGUAAAUUAACUUUAGGAAUUAUAGAAGAUCAUCUUCAUCUGUAGUACAAGCUCAUAUAGUGAUGUAGCAUGGAUCCAGGAAUCCACCAGAUCCAAUGAUCGAAGCUUGUCAAGUCUACAUGGAACUAACAAAAUCUUUUUGAAUUCAUUACUUUUUGCACAAAUACUUGGACUCCGUAGAAAAGUCUCUUCUAGAUCUACCAUUGAUAUUUCAUGACACUUGGUCAAAUUCUUAUAUAUUCUGGAUCAAAAGCGACUAAAAAUUUCAAUUGUAAAUUCCAUGAUGAAUUUAUUCCAAAUUUAGAGUUUCAGUAUGUUACUAGUCCUUUGAUUAGAUGUAUACUACAUAAGCAUUCGAAACCCAAAAUACAAGGGUGUAUCUUGAAACCUCCAGGAUAGGAGAAACCUAUCCAUGUAUGGAUAUAUACCUUAAAUUCGGAUUGGCAACCUCUGCAAUCGGCCAAAGUCCCCAACGGUUAACAACGCAAGGGAAGAGACCCUUUUCACAGUCUAUCCUCAAAAUAUAAGAGACACCAUAAUACAAUAAGCUAUAAGAGUUUGUAUCAUAUAGGUCAUUACUAAUGAUUAAAAAUGAGUUAUGGUAAUAUUUACAUCUAGUAUAUGAUCAUCCUUUUAUAGCAUAACUUUUCAAUCAUUGACUUGUCAGGGAAUUGUUGUACAAGAAAUUGUGGGAGGGAGGGGACUUUAGUUUGAUAUGCAAACCUACUUGAAUCACUGAAAAUUAUCUUAAUUGUCUUUCAACAUUAUAAUAUAAAGUUUAAGAGCUUGUCCUACUUUUCGUCUACCCAUGUUUCAAAUGCCAUAACUCAUCACCAAUUAAUCUAAAUUAAUUUUAUCUUUUUCAAUAAAAAAGGUUAGCUAACUUGACUCCUUUUGACAUAUUGUUGGCUCCUCUUCUCAGAUUGAGAUGGUACGAAAGAGGUUGAUGGCUAAGCUUGGAUAAGUAUGCCAGCAUACUAUUCAGUUUCCAACUAGAAAGGAGUAAAUGAUAGUGAGCCCUUACUUUCUUGACCUUUAAAGGCUUUUGCUACUGGGUACCAUCUUUUGGGGAUAGGAGCAGUAGCUAGGAGCUACAAUUUAUGAACUAGGAAAUAUGAACUAAAGGAUAAAAAAUAACUACAAGAUAAAUGAUACAGUGGGGAUCAUUUUUAGAGUUUCAAUUUAAUAUUUAUAUAAUUCUUCAUUGACUGUCAGGCAGCUUGUCCAUUCUCAAUGUUGAUAUUUGUUUGGUUCGGUGGCUGUCACUUGAUCCACUUUCUUCUGCUAGUUACUGUAGUUGGUUCCAACCAUAUCUCCACUUUCCACAUAUCAAUCUUUUGUUAAUUAUUUCCGCCUCUUAUAUCCUGCUUUCGAGACCUCAUCCAUUAUUAGGCUGAUAUUUUAGCAUAAGGCAUGAUCAGCUUUUUAAAUCAAUAUAUUCUCUCAUAUAGGUUGUCUUCAUAAUUGUCUUGUACUGAUAACCUUUCUAGAGAUCAGCCUAUAUCUUAAGUGACCACUUAGCUUGGUUCAACUAACUCUCUUUAGACGUAGCUUAGCCUAUCUUAUAUGGCAUCUCAUGGUAGCUAGUCCAUUCAACCUAGUAGCAUUUGAUUCCUAAAUUUGGCCUUGUGCUAUCAUUCUAGCCGAUCUUCAUUAUGUACAUGAUCUCAUCGAACACUUAACUCUAGUUAGUGGUUUCUGUACUCAUUUUGUUAAAUCAGCCCUAAUCGAACACUUAACUCUAGUUAGUGGUUUCUGUACUCAUUUUGUUAAAUCAGCCCUAAUCCUUUAGCUUGCUUUUCAUUAUCAAGCAAGAGUCUCUCAUUAUUAUCCGAUUUCUAAAAUCUCGAUAUGGCCAUCAUCCAACUUUCUUUAGGCUACCAUUAUGGGUUAAGAUGUACAUAACCAUUCAAGCCCAAGAACCCAAGCUAACAUGAGUUACAUUAUGAUGCUGCUUGUAGUUGUAAUUUGGUUAUGGCAAUUUUAACAGGUCAUAUAAAUCUACUAUCUUUCUACUCCUCCAGGGCCAACGAAUGAAAGUUCUUCAUAUUAACUCAAAGCCAAAAUACUAUUUCAUCCAAGAGAAAAGCCAGAAUUAAUGCUAUUUUAAAGGCCGUAAGCAACUCAUGGCCUGAGCAAUUACACCGAGGGUGGGUCUCCCUCUUAAUUUAUCACACACACACACAUAGAGUGCUAUAAAUAUGGUCUGAAUGGCAUAGUAUUUUGUUCUUUGAUUAUAGAUUGGGCUAAUAAUAAGGUUGCUCCUCAAUCAUCCAAUGCUAAACUGUAGAAAAUCACCACUAAAUUCGUCCUAAGGAAAAAAAUUAAAAUAAUUAGACAUAGGAUUAUUUACAAGAAAAAAAGAAUAAAUAUAAAUAAUAUAAAUGAUGCUGGUCUUAUUCUGAGGAGGAGAUUUGGUGGAAGGGGUUGUGGCUAUGAGACAGUAUUCAGAUAAGUGAAUGCAAGAUAGAGAGCUAAACUUAUCACCCAUCAUCACUUGGAGUAUUUUUUUUUUUUUUGUCAUUUCUAAAGUGUAGGCCUACAUCUUAAAAAGUGGAAGGGGUUGUGAACUUUGGUUGGUUUAGGAGGCUCAACAUGACCAUUACAACAUACAAAUUAAAAUAUUAGAGCAAUAAACUAAGCAUGACAACAUCCUCGUUAGAAAGAGAAAGCAAAGGUAGUCUUUGCUAAGGGUCACAAGAUUGAAAAAAUAUCACCAUAGGAAGAGCAGAUGGAUAGGUCCCACUUGUCUUUGGCCGCAACUUAUGUUAGUUGGGUCUUAAACCAAAUACUGACCCCAUUUAUUAAUAAUUUGGUUUGGUUAAUUAGGCAGAGUUAAGUUGGAUCAGAUCUACCCCAAGGGAUUUCAUUUUAUAAAAUUUAUAUGCUACUAUAAAGAAUGGCAAUUUAUAAUCUGAUCUAUCAAUCUAACUCACAAAUAAUCCACUUUGAGCAGGUUUGGAUUUGAUAUAAAUGAGUUUAAAUCAUAAAUGGGUCAACACUUCUAGAUUUGUUUAUUAAAUGGGUUGGAUUCAAGUUUUGACUUUUGAACUAUUUAAUUUACUUUGAUCUAUCUAAUAAUUAGAUCGAAUUAUAACCUGAUUCAUUUAACUUGUUUAAAAUCUACUUAACCUAUUUCUAAUCGGUUUAACUUGAUCCACUUAAUCUAUUUAACCCAUUUAAUCUGACUUAACUUAUUUAGAGUCGAGUCAAAUUAUCUAUUUAAUAAAUAGGUCAGAUUUAGAUUUGAAUUUUUGAUCUAUUUAAUGAAUAGAUUAGAUUUGGAUUGACAAAUUUUUGAUCUGAUCCGCAUUUGAUCUGAUCUAUAUCUAACUCCACCCGAUUUGAUUGCUACCCUUAGCUACAAUAUUGAACCUAUAUUCACACACAUGCACAUAUAUAUAUAUGCAUAAAGAGAGAGAGAGAGAGAGAGAGAGAGAGAGAGAACUGGAUUUUGCUAUACUUGAAUAAAUACCUACUCAGAUCCUAUCAGAUCUAUAUUAAAUAAUAUUAGAACCAAGGAAGAGAAAGAUAGAAAGUUUGAAAAUAAAGAUGGCUUCAAGAUGUGUAGUACUGCCAUUUUUCUUAAGAUUUUAUUCGUCUCCACCGAUCAAGUAUGCAACAGAAAUAUGCGAUAAGCUUUUAGGAUAAAAUGAAAUACAAUAUUUGAUUAUGUUUUGCACUAAUAGGUCAAACGACGAGCCUUUCACCAGUGUCUACAGAAGCAUGUUGAUUUGAGAAAGUUGGAGUCGGGAUUGUUGUUGUGUUGGAAAACCAAUAGACUAUUUAUAGAGAAAUCCAUGCCUACUAAGAUGGCUGUUUCUUUUGAACUCACGAUAUUUUGAAAAAGAUGCCAACUAACUGGCUACCAAAAUAAUUGAUUAGUUAGGAUACAAAACAAAACAUUAAAGUUUUUAUUAUUUUAAAAAUAUCUAACAAUCUCCCAUAAUUUUCAGAAUAAGUUAAUUUUAUCAAAUCAACAAUAAUUCUGGUAUCUUAUGCAUAAAUGAAGAUGUCUUGCAAUUUGAAUCUUCGAUUAGUGAGGAUAAGUUAAAACUAAUCAGAAUGGUAUGGUAAACUAGUCUUUGAACCAAUGAUUCUAUUUUAACUAGUUGAACAUAUCUUCACCUAUAAAAUGUUUGCAUCAGUAAAUGCUCAAUAUAAGCUAAUACUUUUAUGGUUGUGUAUCUAUAUCAUUUUCAUGAGUACUUUAAGAGCCAAACUCUUAGAUCCAAGAAGUGGCCUCACUUCACACUCACAUAAGUAGACUUUACCAAAAGAGCCUCCGUAACCAAAGCACUUUAACAAAAUUCUGUUAUAAGUUUAUUAAGAGUAUUUAGUUUAUCCUUCUAUUUAUACAUAGUGGGUACCAAACACUUUCAUCUUGGGAUAAUAUUAAAUUAUAGUGCUUGCAAUCACUCUUAUGUAUUUUAUCUUUUAGAAAUCAAGACUUGAUGUUAUAUUAAGCAUUGAGUUGGGGUUCCAUCAUUGGUGAUUUUAAAAUAUGAGCAUGAGUCCCAUCGUUUUUGAUAUUUUAAACAUCAAAUCUCUAGCAAGUCCCUUUGUUAAUGAAUCUAUCAAAUUUUGAAUUAAUCUUACAAAAUCAAUAGUGAUCACUCCAUUUGUAAUUAAUUGUCUUACAUAACUAUUCCUUAGUUCAACAUAUCUAGACCUUUCAUUAUAUACUUCACUAUAUACUCUUGAUAGUAUAGUCUCACUAUCAUAAUAUAUAGAUAUAAGUGGCAAUGAUUUAGACCAUAAAAAAAUCUCGUAUAAGAGAUUUCUUAACUAUUCAACUUCUUUACUUACUGAAGCUAGAGCAAUAAAUUCUAAUGCCAUGGUGGUGCCUGCUAUAAAAGAUUGCUUCUUAGAUCUCCAAGAAAUUGCAUCCCCACUAAGCAUGAAGAUCCAUCCAUUUGUUGAAAUAUAAUUUUUUUUAUUUGUAAUCCAAUAGGCAUCCGUAUAUCAUUCUAAAAUAGAAGAAUAUCUGCUACAACAAAUGCCAUAAUUCAUAGUUUUCUUUACAUACUUUAGAACUCUAUGUAUAAUAUAUCAAUGUAAAUUACUUGGAUUACUUGUAUAUCUACUUAACUUUCCAACAACAAAAGCAAUGUCAAGUCUAGUACAAGUUACAGCAUACAUUAAGCAUCUAAUAACUUUUAUAUAUUCUAAUUGCAUAAUAAAUUUAUCAGUAUUUGAAACUAAUUUAAGAAUAGGAUCAAAAGAUGUUGAUGCAGGAAUACAAUCUAAAUAGUUAAAUUUCUUUAGUACUUUAUCUAUGUAAUGAGAUUGAGAUAAAAUUAAACAAUCAUUAUCUUUAAAAAUUCUUAUUCCUAAUAUAACAUCAGCUACACUCAUAUCUUUCAUAGCAAAACUACAAAAUAAAAAUCUUUUAGUAAUCACAACUUAUUUUAGAUUAGUACCAAAAGUUAACAUAUCAUCUACAUAUAAACAAAUAAUUUUUCAUUACUGAAUUUACUAUAUACAUAUUUAUCAGAUUAAUUUAUUUUGUAAUCAUUAGCAAGCAUAAUUUGAUCAAAUUUUUGAUGUCAUUUCUUAGGAGCUUGUUUUAAUCCAUAUAAAGACUUAAUAAAUUUGUAUACUUUAUAUUCUUGUCUAGGAACUACAAAACCCUCAGGUUGUUUCAUAUAUACUUCUUCAUCUAAUUUAUCAUUUAAAAAUAUAAUUUUUACAUCUAUUUGAUGAAUAACUAACUUAUAAAUAGAUGCAAGAAAAAUUAGUAAUCUAAUAAUUGCAACCCUUACUACUAGUGCAUAUGUAUCAAAAUAAUUAAUUCUUUAUUUUUGCAUAGUCUUUAGCUACUAAUCUAGCUUUGAAGUUAGCAAUAGUUCCAUGUACUUUCAUUUUCUUCUUAAAAAUUCAUUUACAACCAAUUGGCUUAAAACCUAGUGAAAUGUCAACUAAUUUUUAUGUAUUAUUAUCCAUAAUGAAUCCAUUUCUUCAUUAAUACCUUCUUUCCAAAAAGCAGCAUCUUGAGAUUUCAUUAUCUCUUCAUAAGUUAUUGGGUCUACUUCUGUAUUAAACAAUAUGGUAUAUGCUUACCAAAGAAUUUUCUAGUCUCUUCCAUCAGGAAUGUAAAGAAAUCUGAUCCAAAGAUUUUUGCUUUUCUAACUCGUUUACUUCUUCUAGAUUCAAAAUUUAUUUUCUUCUAGAAGAUGAACAUGUUCUUUAAAUCUAUGAAUUGAAUUAAAUCUAUUUCAUCAAAUAUAGCAUAUCUGAACUCAAUCAUAGUAUUGACUGCCAAUGAGUCAUUAGAUUUUAUGACCAUGAACCUAUAUAUCUUACUAUUUUGUGCAUAUUCUAGAAAUAUGCAUUCAAUUUCUCUUUCAUCUAAGUUUCUUUUUUUGGAUUCAGGAACUCUUAUAAUAGCCCUAUAUCCUCACACUCUUAAAUAGUUUGGGUUAGGCUUUGUUUUCUUUAGAGUCCAUAUGGGGUCGUAUUACUUUUUUUAUUAAGCACUUUAUUUAAUAUAUGAAAUGCUGCAAUUAAAGCAUUUAAAUCAGAAUUAGAUAGCAUUGUAUUAACCAUUUUUGCAAGCACCUUAUUUUUUCAUUCUACCUUACCAUUUUAUUAUGGUGUAUAAGGAGCAGAAGUUUCAUGAACAAUUUCAAUAGAUUCAAAAUAACAAGAAUCAUUGUAUUCACCUCCUCUAUUAAUUCUAAAAUUUUUAAUGAAAGUUUUACUAUACAAUUCUACUUUAGACUUAUAAAUUUUAAACUUUCUAAUACUUGAUUUUUAGAAUUGCUAUAAGUAAAUAUAAUAAUAUCUAGAAUAAUCAUCUAUAAAAGUUACAUAGUAUUUUUUUCUCCUAUGGUUGGUGUAUUAUGCAAAUCACAUACAUUACUAUAUACUAAUUCAAGCAAUUUUAUACAUCUUUCUAAUUUAGGAAAAAUAUUUCUAGUAAUCUUAGUAAGCAUGGAUAGUUUACAUUUAUCAAUUGUUUCAUCAAAGUAUGGAAUUAAGUCAAGUUUAACCAUAUCAUUCAUUCUUCUAUAAUUUUCAUGACCUAAAUGAUUAUGCCAUAAAUAAAAAAAUUAACAAUAUAAGCAUAAGAAAUUUUAUUCUUAUUAAUAUUAAGCUUAAACAUGCCCUCAUACAUAUAGUCUUUUGCCACAAAGAUUCCACCCUUAGAUAAAAUAAAUUUAUUUGUCUCAAAUACUAAUUUGAAUCCAAACUUGUUGAGGAGACUACCGGAUAUAAGGCUUUAAUAUUAAUUUUUGAUAUCAUUGCAGCAAAGUUUUUUUAUUGUUGGUGCAUUCUUCCUUUUGAGAAGGUGGCAUUUUGCCAUGUGGUGUCCAGAUUUUUCAUAAUAAAAGCAUGCAUCUUUCUUCAUUUUGUUUUUAUGAGUAAUGGUAGAUUGAUAGGCUCUCUUCUUUGUGAGUUUGCUAAUAUGAUUUUUCUCCACUACAUAGACUUUGGUAACAUGAGCAUUUUACUCCUUAUUUUCAUCUUGCUUAUGGUAUUUCUCCUUAAUACGAAGAUGGUUACCCAAGUCCGCCUAAGAGAUAUCCUUUUUCUUAUACUUUAGACUUCUUUUAAAGUCUUUCUAUGAUGGAGAAAGUCUAUCAAUAAUAAAGGGCAUAGUUAUGGUUUCAUUCAUGUGCAUGUUAUGCAAUUUAUAAUUAUUAAGAAUAUAUUCUAUCUCAUAUAAUUAUUUCAUAACAGAUCUAUCAUCAACCAUCUUAUAAUUAUUAAAUAUGCUAACAAGAAACUUCUUAUUGGUUACAUCCUCUCACAUGUAUCUUCCUUCAAGUUUCUUCUAUAAUUCUUUUGCAAUAGCCACGUUCUUAGAGGUAUUGAAGAGCACAUCUGAUAUUCCAUUCAGAAUAUGACAUCUACAGAUGUAGUUAUCAUUAUCCCAUUUUUGUUGGGUAUAGGUUUCUCUCAUAAUAUUGUCAUCAUUCUUUUUUGGAUUUGGUGUGUUGAGGACAUAGAUAAUUUUAAGAGUUAUAAGAAGGAAGUGCAUCUUCUUUUACUAUCUCAAAAAAUUUUCUACUUCAAAACACUCUAAUUUGAUAAUUUGUAGCCAUCUCUCAAAUUGUUGCAAACGCCAUUUGUUGUAGAAUGUAAUAAAUCCUUAGGAAAUUAAGAUCGUUAGAACCAAUGCAGAAAAAUAUAAAAAGUUUGAAAAUAAAAAUGGCUUCGAGGCUGCAGUAUUGCUACUUUUCUUAAGGCUUUAUUCGCCCCACCAAUUAGGUAUGCAAAAGAAAUUCGCAAUACAAUGAAGCCUAAUAUUUGAUCAUGUUUUGCACUAAUGGAUCAAACCAAUGAGCCUUCACCAGUCUAUAGAAUCACAUUGAUUUGAUUGAAUUAGAGUUGGGAUUAUUGUUAUAUUAAGAAAUCAAUUGGCUAUUUAUAGAGAAGUCUUCAUCCAUUAGGAUAGUCACUUCUUUUUAUGAAGAGAUGCAAAAUACAUAUUUUUUUCAGAAGUGCACGUCUUUCCAAUAGAAAGAUCCCAACGGAUACAUCCCUUCUCAUAUACAGCAGUUGGAUACUUCUUUUCACAAAAAAAAAUGAUAGAAAUAAUAAGAAACUUUGAUUUUCAAAGUAUAAAUCAUUUUAUUUGAAUUUUUUAAAAAUUUAGAAUCCAUCCAAAACUUAUUUCUAUUUAUUUCAAGAGAAAUCAACCACAACAUAUGACUGGUUGAGAUAUAAAACAAAAUAUUAAAACUUAUAUUAUUUUGAAAAUAUCUAAUGAAUAAUAGAGGCCCAUGUCGAUAUUUCAAGAUGUUAAAUAUGAUCUACUACUUUCAAACUACCUAUAUAUAAAAAAUUAUGUGAUUAAAGGCUCCAAGCUAUACAUCAAAUAAUCAAAAAAUAUAUAUAAUUUAGUAUUAUUUAAAUAAUUCAUUUUUAAAUCUCUUGAUAUAUAGACUAGAUUUCUUUAAAUUACAUAAUUUUUGAUAUAUAAGUAAUGUAGAGAUGGUAGAUCAUAUCAAAUAAUUUGGAUCAUUGAAAUGGGACCCCAACUCCUGAUCUAGACUUGAUAGAAUCCAAAUAAAGAUACAUUCAAAUAUAACCCACUCUCCCUCUCUCUCUCUCUCUCUAUGUGUUCGUGUGUGUACUUCCNNNNNNNNNNNNNNNNNNNNCCACCUCUCCCUCCUCUCUCUCUCUCUCUAUGUGUUCGUGUGUGUAUUCCUUUGGUUCUUACAAGUCCAAUUUCAAGUCUUUACGGAAUCUCAAUCAGGUUUUGGUCCCAAUCAAAUGCCGACUUGACAGUCUAACCGGCAACUCUGGUCAUCAUCAUGGUUGCUAGAUUAGAUGGAGUAAAUGGGCUUAGCACUUGCAUUUCAUGAUAUCAUGCUUGCUCGAGGGAAUUUAUUUGGAAUAUGGAAGUAAUCAAAGAGAAAUUUUUUAUACACUGUACACGGUGAUUGGCUUACGUAUGGGGUCGGAUAAAAAAAAAAUUUCGCAUCACUGUCCGAUUCUACACAUAAGUCAAUCACCGUAUGCGGUGCACAAAAAAUUUCUCAUAAUCAAAAUAUUAUAUAAGCCUCGUACACUUUGGUGGAUGGGAUGGCAGGAGGGCCGCAUCUUAAUAGAGGCCCCUCCAAUUUGGUGUCCUUUCUCCAUUCUCCAUGGUUCACAAUUCUUAGGCUUAAUUUCCAAAAGAACAGAUUGAUGGGUUUGCCAAUCAUCCAAAAGUUAGCCUCAUCAUGGCCCACUUCAGUGUGAUCAUUGAUGCCGCUACGUCAUCUCAAAUAAUGAUGGAUGGUGGAUAUGUCCUUAAUUUGGUAACAAUAAUACAAGAUUAGGUAAAGUAACAUAUAAAGCAUAUAGCAAACUUAUACGUCUCUUUAUGCUUAGAGAGAAUUUGGCUCUCAGCCCGUAAAGUGGAAAAUCUCCUUGAGAGACAAGUUUUCAAUUGCAUAAUCCUAUUUGUGUCAAUAAAGCAAAACUAUUUGCACAAGUCACUAGAGAUGAUUCUUUUUUGGACCAGGUCUGCCUUAUGGUAUGGCUUAUAGUUUUACUAAUGGGUUACUAAAUAUUUUUACUAUGCUUUUUCGUAAUAGUGCAGGAAAUAAUUUGGGGCUAACCAAUUUAUUUUCAUCCAACUACUCUAUUUAAUACAUACACGAAAAUAACAAUAGAUAAGAAAUUAAAAGCAGUACCUUCAGUACCAACUUUUCUUGUCAUAAAUAUGUUUCUCUGCUAAUUGUUAUAAUCGAUACAUCUAUUUGAACAUUAACAAAAGAAUUUUAUGCAUCUAAGAGGAAUUGGUACACACUGAAUGAAGGUAAAACUUACACUAUUUGACACAAAUAUAGAGAGAUACUAUGGCUCUAGCGUAAACUCAUGUAUGAAGAGCAUAAUUGCAUUAUUUUCAUUCAUAAAGUGGCUUUGCCCAAUUUUUAUGCAAGAUUUCGGUUGUUGCAGUCCUAAUUGGCCCUACAGGGCUAUCCUUUUUUUAAAAGGAUAGCUAGGCUCCCUCCUUUACUUGGUGCAAUAACAACAUGGUUUAAUAGUCAGUACAGAGAUGCUACACUCUCUUGCCAUUUCAUGAAUAUUGAUUCCUAGACAAUUUAUUAAAGCAAAAUGUCCAUUUCCUCCAAUAAAAGUUCCAGAGUUUGGUCACCUAACUUGCAUGAUUCCCUUCCAAUUCCUUUAUUGCACAUAAUAUUUCUGUGGUGCUCACCCCUAUUGGUUCUAUGUUCAUCUACUAUGGGGUUGCCACCAGGCUUCCUUGUCUUUUCUAAUCACAUCAAGUUCCUUGGGGAAAGCUACCACCCAUGGUUUGGUGCCCUUGUCAAUUAGAAACUACUACUGGCUGCCCUGUCGACUUCACAAGAGCUCCUUAAAAGCCUUUCAUCUGAGUCAAUAAUUUCCUCCAUCAUCCUUUUAACUUUAUCCUAUUCAAAGCACCUUUUAAUGCUUGGACGCAUACCUUUCAACUUAUUAAUGGAAUAUAUGUCAUUAGGGAGCAAAUUUGCAGCACAAUUCCCCUCUCCCCUUUGAUUGCAACACGUGUCAAGAACUUAUUGGCACUAGCCUUCAAGUGCCGCAUUCCACUCCAUUACAUGACCUAAAGGGUUGUUCAUGGGACCUACUUCAACUGCCCAAAUGGAUGUCUCUUUCAAAUGACAAGUGUUGGCAGCGACAUGAUGCUGGGCAUCAUCUCUCACCUUCACCCAUCUUAAUUUGAUUGAGCUGGAUGCUGGGUUCCAAAAAACAAUGAUCUAGACUUUGUAACUAGGCCAAUGCUUCAGCAAGAAGCGAAUGCCAGGGCUUCUGUGGCGUAAUUAGCAUGGCAUAGAGUCACGUUGCCAAACCAAAUUGUUUAGGCUUUGAGCUAAAUCAAAUCCGAGUUAUGUUAAAAAUCUUUAGGAUAUGUUUGGUUAGGAAAAAUUGAGCUUUGGAAUAGGAAUAGAAAUCGGUUACUGGUUGUUUGGUUGGAAAAAAUCUAAUUUAGAUUUCGAUUCUUAGGAAAAUGGAAAUAUGCCUCAAUCCCCCAAAACUCAAUCUCGACCCUCUUCUAAUAUUCAAAUCCCACUUUAAUUCUGAUUUCAUUCAAAUAACUAAACAUAUUAAAGAAUAUGGUUGUUUCAGUUUUCAUUUCAAUCCAAUCCAAUUUCAAUUCCGACUUUGAUCGUUUACCAAAUUAACCCUUAAUUAUAUAAGAUACAUUUAUAACAUGAAUCGAAAGAAAUCCAUUCAUGUCCAAUCCAUUUAUUUCACAUGGAUCCAUAUCCAACUUGAAAAUUUGGUUAGGGUUUCACUUGUCAGCAAUACAUUUUAAGAUAUAAAAAUAAAAUAAGUCAAGAGGAUGAGAUCUAGGAUUAGACAUUCUAAGACAAGAGAUGGAACGAAAUAAAAUGAAGGGAAAAAAAUGCAAAACAAAUUCCAAAACAUAGUUCACUCUGUUUCAUUCUCCACAAUUUUUUAAUCUUUUUUUUUUUUAAUACAAACUACAAACUACACAACUUUUGGAGCUACUUGAAUGAGGUCUUAACUAGCUCAUAGGCCUCAUACUACUAUCAUCAUCGUAGUGAUUAAGGGCUAGUUUUAAGGGUUUAUCGAUGUUAGAGUGGUUCAACAUAUUUGAGUACCAAAUCCAAACGUAAUGUAUUUAUAAAUGUAAUGUAUUUAUAAUCAAGUUUUAAGCAAUCCUAACUUAAUUAGGCAAAGUCCUUGCUGGUACUCAUAUAUUUAGAUAGAUUGAAACAACUCAACCAAUUUGGAUUUUAAGUUGUCACACUUGGUGGUAACAUUGUUACUGUUGGUUUGAGCGCAAGCACAAUGCUUGGACUCCUAUAAAAUUAGCACCAAAUUGGUAGGUAUGGAAGGUUGCCUUGUUGCUGGCCCCUUUCUUAUGAGAGUUCAGGAACUCUGGUAGGCUUUCAAAGCUUUGAUUUUAGAAUGGUAUGGAAGGAAGGAAAGCUUUAACUUGUCAUCUUUGGAAUGACUAAGAUACAGCCCAUUUGAUGAUUGCUGCUUGGCAAUUUUUUUGUUUUGAAGCUGUAUGGAGGAGGAAAGUUACCUCCCUCAUAUUAUUUAUAAAUAUAUAUAAGUGCAUACAGUGGUAAGAUGGUAGACUGUGCCAAACAAUAUUGGCUGUCCCAAGUUUCAAUAAAAUAUGAAGUUGAGAUAAAAUACCAAUUUUCUUAUACAAGGGAAGCUGCAAUACCAUGUAUGGAAGGCUGCUCUUGAGCCCAUCACUUCACAGCCUAUGUUAUGCCACCCUCUUCAGCAAGAGGAUAGAAUAAGCAUAUAUCAGUCAUCUAGAUAGUUUCUUUUGCAUGCUAUCUUGAAGUUAAUGACUUGCUGUUCUCAGUGUUGGAGAUCCAGUUUCUGAACAAUAAAAUAGUUUUCUUCGCUGCUGCUGAAUGAGCUUUGAAUCUAAAUAGCUUUCGAUUACGCCCCUUCAUAGAAACCAGCAUCCAGUGGAGAAGGAAGCAUCGAUUUGUAGUGUUGUGGAAAAUUGAGAUAGCAACAUCUAUGCAUGUGGAAACUAUGACCCAUGAUUGAGAUAUGCCCAUUUUAUUUCAAGAUGAAGACAUUAUAGUUAGUUGGUUGAUGGAACUAGCCGCUAUAGGGGCAGCAGGAAUCAAUUAAACCCAGGUUAUGUGUUGCUUUUCUUGUCAAAGCUAACGUACUACCUAAUUUUGAUAGCUUCUUGCAUCUAAAUGGAUAGGAACCUUAUAGUCAAAGAAAACAAAUGGUAACAACCUAAUCUACUAACAUUGGGGGACUAGAUUAUCUAAUCACUAAUCUAUCAAGGGUAGGGGUGAGCAAAAACUGAAUCUGAACCAAUCAAACUGGUGAAAUCGAACCGAACUGCAGGUUUGGUUUGAUCUGAAAUUUUAUUCGAUUUGGUUUGAUUGAUUUUUGACAUAUAAAAAACAGGUUUCAGUCGGUUCAGGUUUGUCAGUAAAUAAAACCGUUCUCAAACCGAAUCAGACUGGCUUUAA